rnacentral:rRNA from 1 species
UAACGCGUGAGGAACCUGCCUCAAAGAGGGGGACAACAGUUGGAAACGACUGCUAAUACCGCAUAAGCCCACAGCUCGGCAUCGAGCAGAGGGAAAAGGAGUGAUCCGCUUUGAGAUGGCCUCGCGUCCGAUUAGCUAGUUGGUGAGGUAAUGGCCCACCAAGGCGACGAUCGGUAGCCGGACUGAGAGGUUGAACGGCCACAUUGGGACUGAGACACGGUCCAG